rnacentral:rRNA from 1 species
UACAGAGGGUACGAGCGUUAAUCGGAAUUACUGGGCGUAAAGCGCACGUAGGCGGCUUGGUAUGUCGGGUGUGAAAUCCCCGGGCUCAACCUGGGAACUGCAUCCGAAACUGCCUUGCUAGAGUAUGGGAGAGGGAAGUGGAAUUUCCGGUGUAGCGGUGAAAUGCGUAGAUAUCGGAAGGAACAUCAGUGGCGAAGGCGACUUCCUGGACCAAUACUGACGCUCAGGUGCGAAAGCGUGGGGAGCAAACAGGG